GACGAACCGUGCGAACGUUGUUCGGAAUCACUGGGCUUAAAGGGCGCGUAGGCGGACUGCCAAGUCCGGGGUGAAAUCCUCCGGCUUAACUGGAGAAUUGCCUGGGAUACUGGCGGUCUUGAGGGAGGUAGGGGCACGCGGAACUUCCGGUGGAGCGGUGAAAUGCGUUGAUAUCGGAAGGAACGCCGGUGGCGAAAGCGGCGUGCUGGCCCUCUUCUGACGCUGAGGCGCGAAAGCCAGGGGAGCGAACGGG
rnacentral:rRNA from 1 species